rnacentral:tRNA from 1 species
GGAGGUGUGGCUCAAGAGAGCAUCUGCCUACCAAGCAUGAGGCCCUGAGUUCAAAUCUCUUUACUGCCA